AUGGUGAAACUGAUAGCUUCUUAUGAUGAGGAGGUUGGUGCUGUUGUACUAGGUAAUGCUCCAGGAAAUGCAAAGUAUACUUCACCAACUAUUCAAAAAGAAAUCCUGCAUAUUAUGGCUUGUGACGUGCAAAGUUCAAUCCGUAAUGAAAUUGGUGAUGCCAAGUAUUGCUUGCUUGUCGAUGAAUCAAGAGAUGAAUCUAAAAGAGAGCAAAUGGCCCUUGUUCUCCGUUUUGUUGAUAAACAAGGUUUCAGUCGAGAGCACUUUUUCGAUCUUGUUCAUGUUAAAGAUACAUCUUCAGCAACUUUGAAACAAGAAAUAGAUUUUGUUUUGUCUCGACAUGACUUGGAUAUUCAAAAUAUUCGGGGACAAGGAUUUGAUGGUGCUAGUAAUAUGCGUGGAGAGUGGAAUGGUCUACAAGCCAAGUUCAUGGAAGAGUGUCCAUACGCAUACUAUGUUCAUUGUUUUGCUCAUCAGCUCCAAUUAGAUCUUGUUGGUGCAUCUAAAGAAGUAAUCGAAGUCCAUAAUUUUUUUGAUCACCUUGCUCUUGUUGUCAAUACUGUUGUGUCUUCUAGCAAGAGAAAUGAUGAGUUGCAUGCUAAUCAAGUGGCUGAAAUGGAGCAUCUCAUUGAGCUUAGUGAGCUUCAAACAGGAAGUGGAGCAAACCAGAUUGGAACUUUGCGGCGGCCUUGUGACACUAGAUGGAGUUCUCACUAUGGUUCAGUUUGUAGCCUCUUGAAGCUUUAUGGUCCUACAUUUUUGGUACUAAAAAUGUUGCUACUACUAGUGGGUCUGGUUCUUCACCUUCUGCACGAGCUAAGGCUGCUGGUGCUGUUAAGUUGA
rnacentral:rRNA from 1 species